GUCCAGCUGACGAGUUCCAAAUAGGACGAAAUGCGCAUCCUGGCU
rnacentral:hammerhead_ribozyme from 1 species